rnacentral:miRNA from 1 species
AAAGUGGUGGAACAUACAUUGAUU